AGGAGCUGAAUGAAACCAAAGUUUCACGUUCGGUUCUGAAUUAGAGACGUUAAAAAUGAUGAAUCAACGUCGACUAUAAC
rnacentral:ncRNA from 1 species